rnacentral:rRNA from 1 species
GACGAACGCUGGCGGCGUGCUUAACACAUGCAAGUCGAACGGAAAGGCCCUGCUUUUGUGGGGUGCUCGGGUGGCGAACUGGUGAGUAACACGUGAGUAACCUGUCCUUCACUGUGGUAUAACUUCAGGAAACUGGGGCUAAUACCGGAUAGGAUCUCCUGCUGCAUGGUGGGGGUUGGUAAGUUUCGGCGGUUGGGGAUGUACUCGCGGCUUAUGAGCUUGUUGGUGGGGUAGUGGCUGACCAAGGCGUUGACGGGUAGCCGGCCUGCGAGGGUCACCGGCCACACUGGGACUGAGAUACGGCCCAGCCUACACUGGGAGGCAGGAGAGGGGAAUAGUACACAAUGGGCGGGAGGCAGAUGCGACAAAGCCGCGUGGGGGAUGACAGGCUUGGGGUAGUAAACCACAUUCGUCUGUGCCGAAGCGUGAGUGACGGUAAUGGGUGAAGAAGCACCGGCUAACUACGUG